rnacentral:rRNA from 1 species
GUGGGGAAUAUUGGACAAUGGGCGAAAGCCUGAUCCAGCAAUGCCGCGUGAGUGAUGAAGGCCCUAGGGUUGUAAAGCUCUUUUACCCGGGAUGAUAAUGACAGUACCGGGAGAAUAAGCUCCGGCUAACUCCGUGCCAGCAGCCGCGGUAAUACGGAGGGAGCUAGCGUUGUUCGGAAUUACUGGGCGUAAAGCGCGCGUAGGCGGUUUUCCAAGUCAGGGGUGAAAGCCCGGGGCUCAACCCCGGAAUAGCCCUUGAAACUGGAAGACUAGAAUCUUGGAGAGGUCAGUGGAAUUCCGAGUGUAGAGGUGAAAUUCGUAGAUAUUCGGAAGAACACCAGUGGCGAAGGCGACUGACUGGACAAGUAUUGACGCUGAGGUGCGAAAGCGUGGGGAGCAAACAGGAUUAGAUACCCUUGUAGUCC